GCACACACACUCUCACACAGGCAUACACGCAGAGGAGACGGAUACUCAGCAUAGGGGUAGGGCAAUGGUUCCCUGAAGAGGGAGGAAGGGAGGCUUUUCCAAACUUUUUCUUCCUCACAGAAAGUUUGGGGAAAAAAAAUGCAUAAAGGAUCAGUCAAACCAUGUCCAGUGGUGCUUAUGACCAGCUAAGUGGGAGAGGACAGAAAAAGAGGCAACUGCUGGGACAGGAGUCCUUCACGCCGAAGUCUCCUUACUUCUCUCCUGCUACUCCUUGAGGAAGAAAAAUUCCAACCCAGCUAAAAUCAUCCUGCCUGGCUUUGGACAAGAGGGAGGGGAAGCCAGAUCUGUUGAGCCACCCCUGCCAAGAAGUAGCCAAAAGCUCUUUGAAUUGCCGGGGCCAAACUGCAGCAUGGGCAGGGUAACUCCCGAGCCUGAGCUCGCUGCCUGCUCCUUCCAGCUCGGCAGAGCCAUCACGUGGAUGGGCAUUGCUUGUCUCAAAACCAGAUCAGUGGAAGUAAGGCACAGGCAGCACUUUCUCCUAAUUCAGAAACAACUCUCACGAUGGUUAAAGAAUUCCGGCACAAAGUAGAUGAAGGCAAAGAUCUGGCCUCUCGAAAGCAGCUCAGAGCGACCACGGGAAGCAGAGACCGAACCGCAGCCGUAUGCGAGGGGACUGAAUAGCGCCUGUGACUGAACCAUAUUGCUCUUCAAACAGGGGCAGGAGGUGGGCUGGGUUUCCAGAGCUCACACCAAACAUCACGGCAGCUUUCUGCUUUUAUGGUAGGCUAAACCUAAGUCCGGCGUUUGAGCGCUGUAAGAUUUAAAAGUCUGUGCUCUACAGUUAAUUUGAGCCACCAACUCUCUUUUCUGGUAAGAAAUCUCUGAUCUGCAAAGACAAUUAAUCUGUGGAUAGUUUUGCAGUUAUGAAGGCACAGAACUUUGUAUCACUGCCCACAGACAGGAAUCUAGUUUUCUGUCUUUGAGAGUUCUUAAGACUUUUGCGACUUCAACUAAUAAAGUCAACAUAAGCAAAGUUAAUGCUUUAAUU
rnacentral:lncRNA from 1 species